UCUCCUGUAGCUCAGUGGUAGAGCGUCUGACCGGUGUGCGGAAGGUCAUAGGUUCGACUUCUGUUGGGAGAA
rnacentral:tRNA from 1 species